rnacentral:tRNA from 1 species
GGUUCCGUAGUGUAGAGGUGAUCACGUCUGCUUUACACGCAGAAGGUCCUGGGUUCGAGCCCCAGUGGAACCA